AAUUCUGUAAAUUCGUUCCCUGCUGUGUGAAGGAGCACUUCCUUUUAUUGAUCCAGAAUUUACCUCCUGCAAGUUUCAAGUUUCAAGAUUCCUUCCCUCCCUUUCCUUUAUCUUUCCCUGGAACAAGUACCUGGGAAUAGUGAAGACAAUAGAUCGAACUUCCAAAAAGAACCUUCUUAAAAAUGAAGGCAACCUGGACAGAAAAGAAGCAGACCACACACACUGUUGGAACUGUCUGGUGGCCCAAGCUUAAGCC
rnacentral:lncRNA from 1 species